GAUGAACGCUGGCGGCGUGCUUAACACAUGCAAGUCGAACGUGAGAGGUAGCAAUAUCUUGAAAGUGGCGAACGGGUGAGUAACACGUAGGUGACCUGCCUCGGAGUGGGGAUAACAGUUAGAAAUGACUGCUAAAUACCGCAUGAAUCCACGGGAUUGGGAAAUUCGGUGGAGAAAACUCUGGUGCUUCGAGAGGGGCCUGCGGUCGAUUAGCUAGUUGGCGGGUAACGGCCCACCAAGGCGACGAUCGAUAGCUGGUCUGAGAGGACGAUCAGCCACACGGGAACUGAGACACGGUCCCGACUCCUACGGGGGGCAGCAGUGAGGAAUAUUGGGCAAUGGGCGGAAGCCUGACCCAGCAACGCCGCGUGAAGGAAUG
rnacentral:rRNA from 1 species